UUGCAAAUUAACCUCAAACAAGAAAUGGAUAACUUCCAUAAAUACAGAAGCGUCCGUUGGAAAGAUUAUUUUAUGGUAACAAAUUCUCUUCUGUUUGUUUUUGUUUAUUUGCAUUAGGAUAUAACUAUGCAGCUCAGGUAGCCUCCAACUUGGGACCUCCUUGCCUCAGCCUCCAGAGUGCUGGGACUACAGGCAUAAACCACCAAGCCCAGGAUGGUAACACCCAAGCUUACGGAAAUCCCUGA
rnacentral:lncRNA from 1 species